GGAGAAAUACCCAAGCGGCUAAAGGGGACGGUCUCGAAAACCGUUAGGAGGUUACACUUGCGUGGGUUCAAAUCCCACUUUCUCCGCCA
rnacentral:tRNA from 1 species